rnacentral:rRNA from 1 species
UACGGGGGGGGGCAAGCGUUGUUCGGAAUUACUGGGCGUAAAGGGCUCGUAGGCGGCCAACUAAGUCAGACGUGAAAUCCCUCGGCUUAACCGGGGAACUGCAUCUGAUACUGGAUGGCUUGAGUUCGGGAGAGGGAUGCGGAAUUCCAGGUGUAGCGGUGAGAUGCGUAGAUAUCGGGAGGAACACCAGUGGCGAAGGCGACUACCUGGCCUGUUCUUGACGCUGAGGCGCGAAAGCUAGGGGAGCAAACGGG